CUAGCGGGUGAACCUCCCUCACUCCUCCCAGGGACCUGCGUCCUCCCCGACCCUGCGCCGGCCAGCCCGCGGGGCCGCCCUGGAGCCUAGGGCACGUCUGCGAAGGUCACGGCCCGAGUGGCCUGGGCGCUCUGCCAGCCCCCACCCCUGCUAGAGGCCUGCCUCCCGAACGUGGUCUUCAUAUGGGCAGGGACCUGCACAUCCUUGGCAGGGAGGAGGUCCCAGGGAGGCUGCAGGGGCACCCAUAGCCAGAAAGCGCACGCAGACUCUCAGCGUGUGUUUGGUUGAUGCAGAAGCCAGAUGAGGGACGAAGAGAGAAACCUGGCUACGUGAGGUGAGGCAAGACGGCAGCUGGACACCAGAGAAACACCUCUUUGUGCACGGGACCCCAGCCUGAUCUCACCUCGGGGGCUGCUGCGGCAGGGGCAGCACCAGGCACCACGCCACCCAUCGGCAUGAACCCCACAUCCUGGAUCUUCAACGUUUUCUGCAGGAACAGAGAAAGGUAGUUUCAGGAGCUGGCCAUCACACCAAGACACGCUCAGGGACAUGCCUGGCAAGAUCCUUGCAUUCAUGGAGCACCCUUUGGACAAUUUACCAAAUUCCCAAAUACCCCAGGAAAGGGCCCCAGACCUCCCUACCCGGCCUGGGCCAUGAUACCUUCAGGAGCUCGUUGAGGUCUGAGAUCUCCAGCAGCGUGAGGCUGGCAAUGUCCUGGACCAGCUGCUGGAUCUUGGGGGGGUACUCCUUGGGGGUGUUAUCCAGGGGGGCACCAGCAAGGGCCUCCCCCCCUCGAUGGCUGCUGCAUCUCAUCAGGCGCACGGAGCAGACACGAGGUACCUGUUGCCUAACCCCCAUUCAAACAGAGUCAUCAGCCUGGCACAAGCAGGUGACACGGACCAGGCAGGUAGGUGCCAUGAGCUCAGAAGAUCUAGCUCCUUGGUCCUGACUCAGGUUCUCAGACUCCAGGGUCCACGUGGAUAAGAAAGGGAUUUCCCAGCUACUUUAUGUUCUUCAAAGGGCCUUAGAAACCCACGUAACUGUAAUGCAGACACGCUACCCACGACGUUGUUUCCGGCUUGGAUGAACUAUACCAACCCACAAAGGUAAGGCAAUUACUUGAAUGCAUUUUGCGGCACAAAGCCUUUCAGAACCUAGGGCCCCUGGCGGCAGAACGCCAGAUCCACUCAUGGAAGUCCUACCAUGUCACUGUGAUGCCGGGGAAACUGAAGCUCGGAAAUAAUCAGGGACCGGUCCAAGGUCAUCCUGGGCCACGCCGGAACUAUCGGCGGCCCCCGCGGUUAGGGGAUCGUCAGGAGGGGGCCCCGCGCCCACCACCCCCGUAGGGACCCACCAAGUCCGGGGUGGCCCCCCGCCCGCGGACGCCGCCCCGACCUGCACCCUUAGUGCCCGGCUGCCCGGCCCUCGGCGGCCUGCGGUACCUGGCGAGGCGGAGGGCGGCGGCUCGAAGCCUAAGACACGGCCCCCAUAGGAGGCUUGCGGCCGCCGGCAGCAUCGCUCCGCAAGCGAGAAGGUCACACGCGGCUCCCAGUAGGAGGGACGCUCUAGCUGCCCGGACCGCCGAGCAUACGCGCUGGGGGAGGACGCUCUAGCCGCCAAGACCGUCGAGCAUACGCUGUGGG